CACGGGGGGAGCAAGCGUUGUUCGGAAUUACUGGGCGUAAAGGGCGUGUAGGCGGUCAAGUAAGUGGAAUGUGAAACGCCUCGGCUUACCCGAGGACCUGCAUCCCAAACUGCUUGGCUUGAGUAUGGGAGAGGAUGAGGGAAUUCCUGGUGUAGCGGUGAAAUGCGUAGAUAUCAGGAGGAACACCGGUGGCGAAAGCGCUCAUCUGGCCCAAUACUGACGCUGAGGCGCGAAAGCGUGGGGAGCAAACGGG
rnacentral:rRNA from 1 species